GGUUGUAUAAUGUAGCGGUCAUCACAUCGGAUUCUGAUUCAACACCAGCUUGGAAAUUCCGGUAACCCCGGUUCGAUUCCGGGUACGACCU